rnacentral:pre_miRNA from 1 species
AUGUGCAUUGCAGGGCAAUUACUCCGUUGGCAGAGGGAUGGAUGGCUGAUGGCUUCCAUACUUCUUAUUUGAUUUUGAUCCCUGUCUGCCAAAGGAGAUUUGCCCGGCGAUUCACCC